rnacentral:tRNA from 1 species
GCCUUGCUAGCUCAAUCGGUAGAGCGUGAGACCUUUACGAUUAGUCCUCACAUGUAGACAACAUUGUUAUGUAAUAAAUCUCAAGGUUGCGGGUUCGACCCCCGUGUGAGGCU